GGGCGGUUAACUCAGCGGUAGAGUGCCACCCUCACACGGUGGAAGCCACUGGUUCAAACCCAGUACCGCCCACCA
rnacentral:tRNA from 1 species